GUCAAUAUAGAGAUGUGUGUAUUUUACUUUUUAUCAUAAAUUAUUUAGUGUAUUUUUUAAAAGGCAUUAAAUGCUAGUGUUAUAAAAGGUGAUGACAGUCAAAAAUAGACAAUAACAUACAGAUACAUAUAUCUAUUGCUUUGUUGUCAUUUACAGAAAUGAUGAAGGGAAAAUGUAAAUUACACAAAUCACAUUACAUUUUGGAUAUUCAAUAGUGUUUUCAGUUAUGUAUUCUUCAUAUAUGUUGAUUUGUGUAUAUUAUGCUUUAUAUAUAUUGAUUUGUGAUUAUCAUGCAGUGUUGUAUAAGUUUGUGUUUAAAGUUAUGUGUAAUAUCAAUAGUUCUGUCUGUGUAUUGACAGUUUAUGUGUGCAAGGAAAAUCAUACAUUUGAAUUUCCUUUUCAUUAUUGAUAAUAACUGGCUUGUGGCCUUAUUUCUUUUAUAGUGUUUAAUAACAAGACCAUUUUAAUUUGUAUGACUUUAGUUUUCUAAAGCAACUGUUUUCAAAAACUGGAAAUUGCCUCCCUAAAUAUAAAAAAAAACUUCACUAGAUUAUUUACUGUAAAUACUGAUAUUAGAUUUGUAACACAACAGUUUCUAGUUCAUGUCUGUGUAAACCAUAUCCAAUAUCCCUGUGUGGACUUGUACCAGAUAUUGGUUACUAUGGUAAAUACAACAUUAUACACAUUUUGAACAAGUUUGUCCUUCUGUUUUGUCCAAAAUCUUUCAAAUGGUUUUGACAAACUGGGUUUCACUGUAUGUGAUAGUGAUGGCAGCUUUACAUUGUAUCUGAGUAAUAUUACAUAAGUCAGUGAUUUACUUAAUACCUUCAAUUUGUCAGCAAAGAAAUUUGGACAGUGUAACCAAUUCAUUGUUUUAAGUAAUUCUGACAUUGGAGUGAUGCAAGGGCAGAGAUGAUUUGACAAGAUUUGUUGGGUAUUAAUUGUAAUAAAUAUCAGUGGCGGAUGCAUAUAUUUUCAUAAGUGGGGGCCCAUUGACUGCCUAAGAGGGGACCCCUGGUCAUGCUUCAGUGAUUCCCUAUCUUAUCAACCAAUUUUUUUCCAAGAAAAGGGGGACCCUCUCUAAAUCUGCCUCUGCAUAUUCACAUAGGGCUUAGAAGAGGCAGAACACAUGGAGUAUAGUUGUUUUAAAAACUAGUCCAUAUUAAAUGUGUUGUGAUAUUGUAUGAAACAGUGUGUGACUUGUGAAUUUAGUAAAUGUCUUGUUGAGUGAAAUAAUGUGUUUAAGGAUGUACACCUCUGAGGAGCCAAACAUUUCUAGAAUUAAACAUUUUUUCUGAACCUGAUUUUUGAGUUUAUAAGACUGUUACAAAAUAAUUGUUGAAGAAAAAAUCAUAGGGUGGUGCACUUGCCUUUUUUGCUAUGGCCCUUUGAAAAUGCCCAAUUUUGAUGAUUUUCCCUUUUUUCAUAGAUUUUUACCUAUUUUUGGGCUAUUAUCAUAAAAAAAAUCACAGUUCCACAAUUUAAACUUUUUUCAUACUUUCUAUAAAGAUGAAGUGGGCCUAUCUGAAUAAAUUUUACUUAAAAAACUAUAGGUAGGUGUUAAUAUAAGAAAGUUUUAUCAUAUUUUGACGCUUUUUUUGUAAAAUUUACCAUGCUGUCAAUUUUGUAUUUUUGUUAUUUUUCUCAGUUUUAAGAACAAAAUGCAUAUUAUUUCAACUUUUUUUGUUAUAAUUGAUCGAAAAAAAAAAACAUCUUAGAAAUUUGAAAAGACUUAAAUAAUAUGAGUUGUACAUGAUUCUUGUAAAAUCAUUUUUUGUAUCCCUAACCCUUUUUCUCAAAAUUGAUUGGUCGUAAAAUUUGAAAACUGGAUUACUCAAAAACCGUUCAUUGUAAAUACACAAUUUUUUCACAGAGUUAUGUUUGAUUACAAUAUUUUUAAAAUUCAUUGAUAUUUUCCACUUGUAUCACAUGUUUUGGAAAUAAUUCAAGAAUGAGAUUUCAACGAGACUUAACGAGACUAAAAAGUCAGAAGAAUACAUCCUUAAUGUCUUGUUGAGUGAAAUAAUGUGUGUAAGUGUCUUGUUGAGUGGAAUAAUGUGUGUAAGUGUCUUGUUGAGUGAAAUAAUGUGUGUAAGUGUCUUGUUGAGUGAAAUAAUGUGUGUAAGUAUCUUGUUGAGUGGAAUAAUGUGUGUAAGUGUCUUGUUGAGUGAAAUAAUGUGAGUAAGUGUCUUGUUGAGUGAAAUUAUGUGUGUAAGUGUCUUGUUGAGUGAAAUAAUGUGUGUAAGUGUCUUGUUGAGUAGAAAGUAUUUUUAGAUGAAUGAUUGCAGUGCAGAAGUCCCUCUCUAACUGUAUAUCUUGCACACAAACCUUUUCUUAAUCUUUCUCCAUGUACCUAGGGAGGGACUACUGUUAAUACAUUAUGUUGUUACUUAUAAUAGAUUUUCAAACCUACCUGCAGAACAUUGAUAAACUUGUGGGGUACAAACUUUUGUUACAGAAAUAACUGAUUAUUCUUUGUGGUCAGUUUGCCUUAUAGAUACCCCUCUACUCAAUGUAAGUCUGCAGAUAAGUUUGAAACAGCUAUUUUGAUGAAAUAACUUGCAAUUUAGGAGUUUGAUAUCUUAAAUUCAUGUUUUAAGAGAAAUAUUUAAAGUCUGUAAGAAAAUAUAAGUUAUAACUAACUUUCUUAAUGACCACAAACUCCUACAUUGUAUCAAUUGAUGAUUAUUCUAGGAAGACAUUGAAUGAGGUUUGACAGAUCAAGUGGACACUGUGUUAAUAACAUUCAGACCUGUGACAAGUUAUACCCAUCAAAUAGACUAACCAAUUUAUUUGAAUAUAUUAAAGGACAGAAUUGUUAUUGGUCAAAAGUAUUAGUAACACUAAUUUAAAUGUUUGAAGAAAGCCAUUUUUUCUAAAUGGUCAUGUGAUCUGAUACAAUUAUUUUUUUAAUAUUCUUUAAAGUGUUAAGAUCUUGAAAUGUUUGUAAAGAAGACAAGCAGGUUAACAAGUUAUAAAAUAGACAAUGUUUGAACAAAAAAUAUUAUAUGCAAAAUGUUUAAAUUUAAUCAAAUUAUACGUAUAAUGCCUAAUACAAAGGAAGAUAUUGCCAAAGACAUAGUGACAAACAUCAAUACUAUUGAUAUUGAUAAUGUCAGACAAUUAUUUAAUAUUAAGAACUUGAAUUAUCCCCCUUUGUUUUCUAUCCAUUCAUUUCAAGUUCUUUGUUUAAUUUCCCCGGUAUAGUGCAAUCUAUAACAAUGCAAUAUACCUUUUGAUAAAAGCCAUACCUAUGGUGCUCAAUUUUAUAUAUUUAAACACUGUACAUCAAACAUUAUUUGGAGUUGUUUCCAGCUUGAUUAAGCUGUGAAAAAAUAGGAUAUAGAAGAUUAAGGAAAAACGUUUGUAGCAAAAUUAUAAGCUUAUUGACAUAAAAGAGGAACGAAAGAUACCAGAUCUAGAGGGACAGUCAAUCCCUCAUUAUGUUUUACAUUAUAACAUUAUAAUUUGUAAGAUUUACCACCAUCCAGUUUUAUAUUAAUCAUGUUUAAUGUACAGUGUUUGUAAGAGAUGAUAUGUUUCUUUUAACUUAUUUGAACAUAUAAAAAAAAUUAAGAUUAAAAAUGCUAAAUAGAGAGAUUUUAGGCUUAAAUUAAAAUAUUUCAGUGUGAGAAAAGAAACAUGGCAUACUCUUUCAUACAAUGACAACUUACAUAUAUAGCAACAUUUCUUACUCCCUCUAAAAAAAUUUUGUCUCAAAAGUGUGGUUAAAUCUCCCAUUUACUUUUAUUUUUAAAGAUUAAUUGAUAGUCAUGCAAAUAAAUCUGAAGUAGGUUCUACAAAAAUUAAAAAUCGAAAAUAAUCCUCAUAGGGAGGUUACUAUAUUGAUGGUUAUUGAAAGUUGCUACCUAUGAAAGUUGUUGUAUGUAUGUUGUUUUUAUUAAUUUAUGUUUAUAUGACCAGACUGCUUUUGAUCAUUAAUGAAUAAUAAUGACAUGGUCUUCACAUCAUGAACAUAAUUGUGUUUAAAUCUUUGUUAAUUGUUUUCUGAAUUUCAGUAAAUAAGGCAAUUGUUUGUUUGGUUUACAGUCUUAAGAGACCUUAAAUAUUUGUUUAUCUCUUUAUCUGUAUUCUUAUUUCUUGUUCCUAGCAAUUGAAGUGAAAAUGAACAAAGAUUUAAAGAAAAUCAUCUAAUGUGGAUAGGGAUUGAAAAUGUUUAAGUUGAUUCUAUAUUUGUUAAGGGUAAAUACAUUAGAUAAUGAGCAGUUUCACUGAAUAAAUGAUAUAUAUAUUAAGUUUGGAAAUAAAAAACUUAAAAACAUGUUAGGAACUGCAUAAUGAUAUUUCUAUUUUCAGAACAGCUACUGAGUUAAACAACGUUUUUAUAAACUGUUUUGAUUAUUUUGAAAGCAGUUUGGUCAUUGUUUGUUAUGAUACUUGUCAUGCUAAUAAGAUCUUGUUGUGGAGUUAACCUUCACAUGUGUGUUCAGUACACACAGGCUCAAAGAAAUCAACAGCCCUCUUAAAGAGUAAAUGAUAAAAAAAGAAAAAGAAGUGAAAAAUAAAACAGAAAAAGAACUGUUCCAUAAAGUUGAUAUAAAAAGAAGAUCCAGGAAUUAAUACUGAAAUUUAAAUCCCAUGAGGUGCUUUUGUAUCUAAAAAAAACAUUAAUGGUGAUAUAUGGGAAGAAAUUAGUGUAAUCUAUUAUAUUUUGAUUAGAAAAAAGGGUGCUUUUAGAUCGGCACACUAAUUUCAUUCUAUAGGAAGAAAAUCUGAAAAUCAAACUUCAUAUUUAAAUUUAUGUUGGAGACUUGAUAUAGUUGUGAAUAUGUGAUUAGAAUUGUACCUUUUUAAAGAGAAAACAGAAUUGUUUUUAUGUAUGUCCAACUGUGUUAUUCUUAAAAUGAAGGGCAGGAAAAAUAUUUUGAAUACAAAUAAAUUUUGUCUUUAAUAGUUGACUAAAUUUGAAACUUAAAAUUACAUGAAAGAUUACAAUAUAAUGGGAAUUUGUUAUUGUUUGUUACAUCACGCUAUAGCUUUUUGCACUGCAACUAUGUUGAGCAACCAAUAAUUUAUUAUUUUGUUUGCCUAAAGAACUUUCCCGAAUGAUUCUGUAAACCAGCCUAAUUUGCUGAUGUUGGCAAUAUUUUAGACGAAUAUGUCUAUUCAUUAAUUUCAAAGAGGUAGAUAAUGCAGUUCUUUGUUAACUUUCUUGAAAGUUUCUAUUUGAAAUUCCUAUUGAUGCAAAAAAAUUAAAAAUUAUUUCAAAAAAAUAAAAUUUUAUAAAAUAAAAAAUUGAUAUGCAUUACAUUUUGGCUGUACCCCUUUUAUAAUUGGGAAGACAUAAAGGUGAAAGAAGUAAAUAUGUUAAUACUGUAUCAUUUAUGUUUAUAAAGAAAAAUAGUGCUGUUACUUUAUCAUCAAUGUUAAAGAGUUUGUGCUAGUGACAUUAUUUUACUGAGAAAUGUAAUGAAGUCAUGAUAUUGAAGGUUUUGAAAUAAAGGCUGCUUUAUGGUACAAGAGGACUUUGAUAAUUAUAAUGUUUACUUAAAUAAGAUAAUUUGUGAAUUAUGGAUAAGCAUUGUCAAAAGUUCAGGACUAUUGGACAACACCUGGUGAAAACAAGAUCUCAGACGUACAAGAGAUUGUUUAUUUUGUUUUUAUUUUUUAUACAUUUGUUUGUUAUAGUAGGUUUACCAACAUUAUGUUGUAUUAUUUGUUUUUCGUUAUUAUUAAAUGUCAAUUAAUAAUGGGCAGAGGACAUAAAAAAAUUACUUUACACUACACUCAAUUUAAGAAGAAAAUGUAAAAUAAUUUGAAUCCUGAAUCAACCUGCAAAAACAUAUUUAUUUUAAUUUACAUAUUUUAUUUUAUGUUGUACAAGUUAUGAUUUAGCCAUAUCAAUAAAUUAUUAAAUUCUCAAUGCUCAAUCAUUUCUGCAAUGGCUGGCCUCAAGGCAUAAUAAUUUUAAAACAUCUUCACACAUGAUAUAUAAUUAGUAUUAGAAAUAGUGUUUUGGAAAUAUUUAGACUGCUUUUUAGACUGAUAGUUAGUAGUAAGAAAUUCCUGAUGGUUAUUGUUACGUUACGGAGAUUUCUAUAGAAAGUUAAUGACAGGGUAUGUGUUUGAAUCAUAACUCAUUGGUAUAUUGCUGUAUUGUCAGAAGCAAAUAUUUUGUAUCUCUCAUAUGUUUCAAUUUUUUCUCGACAAAUGGUGCUGUGAUUUUCAUGGAUUUCUCAAAGAGGCUAAAACAAUUAUUUAUCAAGCCUAAAUGACUAUUUAUAAAGCAUCAUGUGACUAUGUAAAAAAAGCAUCAUGCGAUUUGGUAUAUAUGACAGUCAGUGUUGUCACAUGACAUUCAGUGAUACUCAAUUUCUGAACCUGCCAAGUGUCAAUUAGUAUACAAAUAGUAAUGUAGUAGAAAUAUGAAAAAUCCCCCACUCUAGUCAUCUAAAAAAGAGAAUCCAAUCUUUUAAUGAACUUUAUACUCGAGGAUUAUGAAAAAGAAUAAGUAAAGUUUUUAUUUUAAUUGUAUGAGAUGUUUUUGUCCACAUUGUUAGACUGGUGAUUGGGUGAUUCAGAAUAUAAUUACAAAUACAGUAAUUACACUUUGACUCUUUUAUAUAGUCUAAAGUGUCUCCAUUAGAACUAUUUUUCUGCUUUAAACAACAGUGGUAGUUAAGUCUAAACAUUACUUUUUUUGUUUAGAAAUUCAAAUAAUUUAUAUAUAUAUUUAUCAUUAUUUCUUUAUAUGAGCUGCAUCCUAUAGAUAUCCAUCUUAUUCAAAUAAAGAACAAGUACAGCUGUUCACAUAUCAAACAUUGAUUCAGAGAAAAUGAACUUAAACCAAAGGAAACAUCAAUUAUAAAAAAAAAAAUAAAAAAAUAAAUAAUUGAAAUUUUGUUGAAAAAACCUUUUGUCCAAGUCUGUAACUGUUUCAAAGUUAAGUUGAUAUAAGAAACCUAUAAAACAGACCAAACAUUCAUCCUUUAUUUCAUAGUUCAAUAUUCCAGAAUCAUUCAAAGUUGUAUACAUAUACACACACUUGCAUAAGGUAAAUUGUUUAUCUGAAUCAGCUCAUAUAUUAACAACCGGUGUUUGCUUUCUCAUUGUAAGUAAUUAUAUUAUAAUUAUUUUUUUUUAUAUUAGAACAAGCUUUUUUUUAUAUUGAUUUCUUGAAGUCAUUUGGAUACAUUACUUUUGUUUCUAUUUAUCAUAUCUUUCUUCUUGCUUAAUAAAACAAUAUAUGAAGAAAAAAAUGAUAGUUAGAAAAGACAAAACACUGUCAAAUUUUUGUAUUUUAAUUUGAUUUACCUUCAUUUCCUUCUUUUGUAUUUUUUUUUAGUGCCAUCCGUGCAUGUGGUAUUGAAUUAAAAAAAAAUGUUACUGAAUUUUCAAAAAGUACACAUUUUAUUUGACAUCAAUUUUCAGACAUUUAUCUAUAUAAAACACUUUUUUGCAACUUUUUUGGUAAAGAUUUUGUCUGAGUUAUAGAAUAGUUCAACAUAAAAGAAAUAAUCUUAGAUUCUUACAAACAUAUGCAUGCGUUGUGAGAAAACUGGUAUGGAAAUUUAACAAAAGAUAUAAAACAGUUUUUACUAGGGCAUAGAAAUGCAGUUCAAUAUUGAUUACAUGUAUUUAUCUGAGUGAAAAGAUAUGUUUGUCAAAAAAAAAGAAUCAUAAGCUAUGCCUUUCUUUAAUGAACAUAUGUGUGUGACCAUCUCACAAUGAUCUUAAUAAAGAAACAGAAAAAUCAAAGUUUUUUUUUAUUAUUUAACUUCAUAAUGUGUUGUAAUCCUGGU
rnacentral:lncRNA from 1 species